rnacentral:pre_miRNA from 7 species
UGAGGUAGGAGGUUGUAUAGUUGAGGAGGACACCCAAGGAGAUCACUAUACGGCCUCCUAGCUUUCC